rnacentral:tRNA from 1 species
GGAGAGGUGGCUGAGUGGUUUAAGGCGCGCGCCUGGAAAGCGCGUGGUCGUCGAAAGGUGACUCCCGGGUUCGAAACCCGGCCUCUCCG